UGAUAGUGCUGGGCUUGGUGGAGUAAAGGCUAAGAGAAGUGACACAGAAAGUUAUCAAAACAAGGAUAGUAUAAGAGGUAAUUCUGUUUCUGGAACUAGUCGCUCAUCAGUCGAUGGCUUCAAAAGUGAGUGCAAAACAAAAUCCAAGACCAAGCAAAAGAGUAGUCAUUUGUCAAAAACUGGAAAUGGACCUCGCGGAUCUGGUCUUUCAGUAGCUAAUGCUAGCCAUAAAAUAGACACAGAAUUUGGUUCAGUAUCUCUCGUUAACAUCCGUCAGGAAACUUCUAAAGAGGCUGAUGAACCCAUUGAUUUCGCAAACUUGCAGCUGCAAGAAUUAGAUACAAUUGGAAUAGAAGUAUCCACUGACCUUGGCGGGCCACAAGAUCUCUAUUCAUGGUUGAAUUUUGAUGAUGAUGGCUUACAAGACCAUGAUUCCAUAGGUCUCGCAAUACCAAUGGAUGACCUUACAGAAUUGAAUAUGAUCAUGUAAGAGAAAUUUGCACUCUUCUUUUUUGGUUGAGCAAAGAUUCAAGGGACCAUUGAGAGAUCAGAGCUAGUGUAGCCCAGGCAAGUAAAUCGAAGAUUGCAACUGUAUAUAAUUUGUAGGUAAAUUGAAUGUUAUUUUGAUUAUUUGUGUGAAUUGAACAUCUGUGCUUCCCAUAUGCAUGUAUUCGUAUGAGAGGUGUAGGAUGUAUAAAUACAUUUAUCUUCUCAUUUUAUGUAGUAGCUUGCCUGGGCUACACUAGCUCUGAU
rnacentral:misc_RNA from 1 species